UGACCCCAUGCCGAACUCAGAAGUGAAACGCCGUAGCGCCGAUGGUAGUGUGGGGUCUCCCCAUGCGAGAGUAGGACACUGCCAGGC
rnacentral:rRNA from 2 species